CACUGUGAUGCUGGUGACCACAAAAUCCCCCCAGAGGUCCUGUGUUCCUGACCCUGACAGCUCAGAGCUGUUCGGGCAGCACAAAGGGGGCGGCUGAUUGGUGAUUGGGGGACCUGCGACAUGUUAAACAGGCCUGAGUUGCUGCAUCGUCCUUAUAAUCAGCCCGUCCAUAUGUUCAGGCUGUUAUCUGUUCUAAUCCUAAUCAUCCUUUGACCCAGUGGGACUCCACUGCCGCAGGUCGGUCACAGGAGGAUCAAAUAACCUGACUUCAGUGAUACUGAGCCUGGGCCUGAUGGAGGUGGCUCUUCGGGUUUCACGUUGCAAUGGUAACGCCAGCAUCACAAACUAACUGCCAGCAGGAGAAAUACACCCCAAAGCACAUCAAGAC